CACGAAUGAGUUGAGCAAUCCUGAUUCGGAGGCCUAUAAGGCAUUAGCUGCACUGGUUAUGAACAUGAUGUUGAAUGCCUACCAGAACAAUCCAUAUAUUGGAAAAAUUUCAAUUCAGGGUUUCAAGGCAGGAAGUGUUAUUGUAGCGACAAAAGUGGAACUUGCGGAUGGUGUUACGGCGGAGGCUGCGAACGGCAUCAGUAGCGAAAGUAUUGCUGCCACCUUGGUUGACUUUGUUAAAGAUGACCCAUCUGCCGCCAAUCUUGGUGUUGAUGCAGG